AUUUAUUCAAGUACCGACAAUAACACCUAGCGACGACGGAGGCUUUAACCCAUUAGCAGUGGCGACAACGGUAACACAUCCCCAAUUUCUCAGGUACGCACUCUUUUUCUCUCUCUUCUAUGACUAAACAUUCAACUAUAGGAUUAUGACAAUCGUAGAGUACAUCAAUUCUGACAUGGACAGACAAUGAUAAUAUUCGUAGAGUGAACAUCCCAAGGAAAUUUGAUAAAUCUCUUAAGGCUAAGAAGAAAGACAGUUGGAAAUGUAUCUAACAACUUUAUUGCUGAAAAGGUAGCACCCACGUGCUUAUUUAUGUAGUAGUCAGUAAUGAAGUGAUAGAGCAGAAAGCUGGUACAUCUCACUCCAAAGUUAACAAUCAGAGAUCUUUAAAGAUCUGAACAUUAAAAGAACAAGGAUAACUUUUAAAUGGGAAAAUCUCAUGGAAGGUUUAUAAAAGGCAAGCAAAUUCAAUCAAACAGUAAUAACGAACAAUCAAUCAGUCGAACUGCUGCCCAAUUAUAACGCCCCCAAAAUCCAGACUAUUUUCACCUCUGAUCUUGAGCAUUAACAUAUAACUUCAUUCUUAUUUCCUGUCAAUAAUCAAUAUUAUAAUUAAUAAAACUUGUAUAUUCUAAAACUUUUUACAACAUUCAAUAUUAAUAAAGAUAUAAAAAUUUAGUUAUUCAAAACUUUCCUGAGUUCCAGAAUUUACAACCUUUACAACUCAUAUUUAUAUCUUGAAAUCAUAUAUAUACUAUGAUUCAUCUGUCAGUUGUGAAUAUAAAAUUAAAAUUUUAAUAUCAAAUUAUUCUUCUGAACCUCCGUAACUAUAAUCCAGCAACUAUAUACUCAAUACAUAUCAUCUCUCAUAUAGUAUUAUCACCAUAUUAAUUUAAUUUAAAGAGAAUGUAAAAUUACAUCUUAAAUUCAAAAGAAUAUACUUUGUUCCAUGAUUCAAUGAUUUACAUGACUUAUCUUACGUACAUCAUAAAUAUUCAUCUCGACCUAGUAUGAAUCUAACCAAAGAAAACAAUAAAAAAAUUCUUUUUAACGUGCCUCAAGUCUUUAUCGCCAUGAUCACCAGAGAAUUAAAUAUUUAAUCUGCAAAUGAAAUUAGUUGCAAGUAUAAGUACGACGGUCCAACAAGUCUAAUAGUACACAUUUCAUGCUUCAAGUAUUAUACAUACUCUGCAUUUUGUUCGUGUGUCAUGUAUCUUAAGCUAUGCAUUUUAUACAUGCAUCUUAAAACUAAUGUUAUUCAUUUUAUACAUGCUUCUCAGGUCACAUAUAUCGCAUUUAAGUUUCAACAAUUAAUACAUGUUUCACAUAUAAUGCUAAUCACAUUUACUCCGAACAACGGAUUUCUUUAUCCACUUCAUAUCAACAGUUUAACACAACAGUAACACCUUUUACAAAUAACAAGUUUGCAAAUUACUGAAAGAACUUUCCUCGUUCGUUAGUUUACACAAAUCAAAUGUCUGAUGUAUAAACUUGCUCUUCGGUUAACAUAAUUCUUACGUUUUCAUUCGUCGUAUAACCUAUAUAUAAAAUCAGGUUAUAACAUGCUUAAUAAUAUAAUUCGAGAUUUAAUAUACUUCUAGAUUAGCUUAUUAAUAUUUAUUUUUUCUUACGCCCGAUGUAUCAUAUUUUGUUGGUUCAUUAUCACAUCAUUAGGACUAUCCAACAUAAUCAUAUCAUAAAAUUGCAUCACAAUUAACAGAACUGUGAGAAUUUCCUCAAGUUCAAUUUUACACUUUUUGGGUUAUUCAAAAAGUGCAACUCAACGAUUACAUAUUUAGACUCCACACAAAUUUUCUUUGAUUAUUUCAUUAUUUUCAUAUAAAUAGUUGUAAGCUUUAUAUAAUUCAUAAUGUUCUCCAUUUAUAUUUUCUAAUAUAUAUUGAUCAAAUGAAGUGCUAGGUAAUUGAUGAUCAGAAUUUACCUCAGAUUUUGGUGAUGAAUCAUUGUCUGCCAUUAAGCAAAGAUUUGCAAUUUCUUCGGUUCGUUCAACAGUUCUUUUUCAUCACUUAGAUCCCAACCUUCCUCAGCUAGUAGAACUUUAUUGUUGAUUAAUUUUGGACAAUCAUUUUUGAAAUGACCAGGUUAGCUGCAUUCAAAACAUGUGUUUGAACUUUCAUUUGAGUUGACAUUUCUGAAGUUAUUGUUGUUUGCUUUAAAAUUUCCUCCUUGAGCCUUUGUCCUGAAUACUUGCUUGCUUUUGAAGUUAUUGAAGUUGUUGUUUGUUUUCAUAAAGUCUUUGCCAUAUUUUCUGGCUUUGCUUUGAAUCACUCUUCUGAGUUUUCUGGAUAACAGAGCAACUUCAUUAUUAUCUAGACUCAGAAGUUCUUCAUUUAGUUCUUCAUCAUCACUUUCUUGAUCUACAAGUAGAGCUUUGAAAGCAAUUCCUUUCUUUUUGAGAUCUAUGUCUGAUCCGGAUUUUUCGACUAGCAUGCCAACUUCAUGGGCACACAUAUUUCCAAUGAGACUGUCAAGAGGAUAGAUAGUUAGAUCCUGCAUUUCUUUGAUGGUUGAAACCUUUAUUUUCCAUAUGGAUGGAAAGGUUUUGAGGAUUCUUCUGUUUUUCUCAUUUGUUGUAUAUGUCUUCCCUACUUGUUCCAGUUCGUCAAUGAUUCUGGAGAAAUGUGUCUCCAUAUCAAUGAUUUUUUCACCUUCUUCUAGCUUGAAGCUUUCAUACUCUUGAAUUAGAGCAUCCUUUCUGGUUUCUUUGAUAUGAUUGGUUCCUUCAUAGGUUAAAAUCAAUUUUUUCCAGAUUUCUUUUGCAUUCUUACAAUUGCUAACUCUUUUAUAUUCUUUUUCAAUGAGAGCACUAGUUAGCACUUGUUCGACGUUAGAAGCUAUAUUCAUAGCCUCUUCAUCUUCAGUGGUGAAUUCAUCAAUAUCUUUUUCAACGAUCUUUUCUCCUAGAAUUUUGGUUAGGACUUUUACACCUCGUUCAAUUGCAGACCAAACUUUGAUUCCUUGUGACUUGACAUAGAUUUUGAAUCUGUUCUUCUAGAUGCCAAAGUUGGUUCCAUCAAAUAGUGGAGGUCUGGACAUAGAUAGUCCUUCUCCACAACUAGUAGCAUUGUUGGCCAUGGAUUUACUCUUAGGUAUUCUUGUAUUUACUCAACAAACAAGUUAAAGAGCACUGCUUUGAUACAAAUUGAAAGUCCAAUAAUAAUCUGGGAGAGGGGGGUUGAAUAGAUUAUUAUAAAUUAAAAAUUUAUCUUAGAUUUAGUUAAUUAAUUUACAAUAUUAGAAUAUAAUAUGCAAGAUAAUAAAAACUCAAUCACACAAUGCACAAAAAUUUGUCUAGUUCACAACAUACAUCUCGAGUAUGUUGCUACGUCCAGUCUCAAACUCCUCUCUAGGACUUGAGAUUCUAUUACUAUCAGUAAUAAAUACUCCUUUAACAGGCGGAGAAGCUUUUACAAAAUUUUAUAGACAAACUUUUAACUUUUCACAACUACCUAUCUUGGACAGCAAGCUCUCAGCUCCCUCCUCAAGCUUAGUUGUACCUUCUUUUAAGUUCAGUUAUAUUAUAUGAUUUGGUCUUGAAACAACAAUGUUAUUCACCUCACAAGUUCACUAGAGACUUAACUCGCAGCUGACCUUUCUAAGACUCUGGUCUUGGUCAAAGAUUUACUCAUUUUUCUCACAGGUACAUAAAAUAAACUAACUCUGACUUUUCUCUUUUUAUAAAAUAUUCUACAACGACGUGCUUCUUAAAUAAGCAGAUAAAAUUAAAGAUCAAAAGGUUCAAAGAAAAUUUACUUCUUGUUAAGCAGAUGUGAAUUUUGAUUCCGUUAUAAAAGUUUAAACACAUUUAUAUUUGUGUAGCAAUGCUUCUUGAUCAAGCAGAUAAAAAAAUUUAAGUGUAUGUCCAAUAAUGCUUCUGAAUAAGCAAAUAUUUAAUGCAAGUUUUUAAAGAAUUAUUUAUUCUUUAUAAUAAAGAAUGUGUUUCUAUGGAUUUAAUCAAAUAUGAUUUUAACAUAAAAGUCUAAUUAACUUUUUGUAUAUAUGCAAUAAGUAUUUUUAUGAGUAGAUGAAUUUAUGAACUAAUACUUGUGAUGACAUAUAUCAAGUAUACUAAAUAAAUCAGUUAAGAUAUACUUGAUAUAAUAAAUAUAUUUGUUUAACUCAAAAGAUAUAUAGAAAUAUUUUAUCUAUUAUGUGGAUAAUAUAUACAGAAGGCCACUUAGGAUUUUAAAGACCGUUUGAACAAUUCACGCUAUCAUAUAUUCAAGGGUGAAAAAGUUCAAAUUGUUUCGAUGUCUAAGUACUGACCAAAUUUAUAUUUUUCACACUUGUAUAUUUAUAUAAAUAUUUUCAUUGAACUACUUGAGUUUUCAGGACUAGUUGAAUAGUUCUCUAUGAGAAGUAUUUCGGGGUCAAUCAACUAUUAAUCUAUAAUAUUUAUAUAAAUAAUGAAUAUAUAAAGUAUUUAUAUAAAUAUUUUUGAUAGACUACUUGACUUUCUGGACAAGCUGAAUAAUUCUCUAUGAGAAGUAUUUCGGGGUUGAUCAAGUAUAAUCUACUUUACGAUAUUUAUAUAAAUAAUAAAUAUAUGAAAUACUUAUAUAAAUAUUUUCGAUAGACAACUUGAAUAGGUACCCGUUACCUCGCAUUGAUGACCUGCUUGACCAGUUGCAAGGUGCCAAAUUCUUUUCAAAGAUUGAUCUUCGUUCCGGAUAUCAUCAGUUAAAGAUUAUAACUGAUGACAUUCCAAAGACUGCUUUCAGAACUCAGUACGGGCAUUAUGAAUUCCUAGUCAUGUUUUUUGGAUUGACUAAUGCUCUUGCUGCCUUCAUGGAUAUGAUGAAUAUUUAGAUUAUUUUGUGGUUGUCUUUAUUGAUGACAUUCUCAUAUACUCCAAAAGCCGUGAAGAUCGUGAGAAACACUUGAGGCUGAUACUCCAAAAGCUUCGUGAGAACAAGUUAUAUGCCAAGUUAAAGAAAUGCGAGUUCUGGCUUAAGGAAGUAGCAUUUCUUGGGCACGUGAUAUCGAAUCAUGGAAUAUCUGUUGACCUGGCAAAGAUUGAAGCAAUUCAAAGCUGGGAGCAACCUAAGUCAGUAACCGAAGUGCGUAGCUUUCUGGGCUUAGCUGGUUAUUAUCGGAGAUUCAUGGAAGGAUUUUCUCGAAUCGCUACUCCAUUAACUCAGCUAACUCAAAAAGAUACAAAAUUCGGUUGGAGCGAGGAAUGUGAGAAGAGUUUUCAAGAACUCAAGAGGAGACUCAUUUCAGCACCUAUUCUGACAAUACCAUCUGGUUCAGAGGGAUUUGUCAUCUACAGUGAUGCUUUAGAUAAAGGUUUAUGAUGUAUUCUCAUGCAGCAUGGGAAAUUCAUAGCCUAUGCCUCACGAUAACUCAAAGAAUAUGAGAGGAAUUAUCCUACUUAUGAUCUAGAGUUGGCAGUAGUCAUUUUUGCGCUAAAGAUCUGGAGACAUUACCUGUAUGGGGAGAAACUGGAGAUCUAUAUGGAUCAUAAAAGCCUCAAAUAUUUCUUCACCCAAAAGGAACUUAACAUGCGGCAACGACGUUGGCUCGAGCUGUUUAAAGAUUACGAUCAUACCAUUCAAUACUAUCCUGGAAAAAUGAACGUGGUAGCUAACGCGUUGAGUAUAAGAUCUUAUGCGGGUACGAGUGCGAUAUUAUCAACGCAAAGGCCUAUUUGGUAUAACUUACAAAGGAUGGAGAUAGAGUUAAAGACUCUAGGGACCCACGUGAUGAUGUCAAAUAUAUGAGUAGAACCGACUUUAAUCGAUAAAGUUAAAGCUGCUUAAGCUACGGACCUGGAGCUGAUGCGUAUGAGGAAGAAAGUACAAGAAGGUGCUAUUCUAGAAGCAAGAAUCGAUGAAGAAGGAAUACUUUGAGUCAACUCCAGACUUUAUGUUCCUAACGACUCUGAUUUGAAGUAUAAAAUCAUGAUGGAGGCGCACAACACACUGUUUGCAAUCCAUCUUGGGAGUACCAAAAUGUAUCGUGAUUGUUGACAUACAUUUUGGUGGAGCAAUAUGAAGAGAGAGAUAGCGGAGUUUAUCUCAAGGUGUUUAACUUGUCAACGUGUCAAGGCGGAGCAUCAAGUGCCAAAAGGUCCAUUGCAACCACUUGAAAUUCCAGAAUGGAAGUAGGAGCACAUUACCAUAGAUUUCGUUACUGGUCUUCCCAAGGUUACUCAAGGCAUAGAUGCAAUUUGGGUCAUUGUUGAUAGAUUAACCAAAUCUGCUCAUUUCUUACCUAUACGAGAAACUUAUUCACUUGAACGUCUUUCUCGUAUAUACAUAAAUGAGAUUAUAAGACUGCAUGGUAUGCCAAUAUCCAUAGUUUCUGAUUGAGACCAAAGAUUCACUUCACAAUUUUGGGUUAUUUUAUAGAAAGUUAUGGGCACGAAUUUACGAUUUAGUUCGGCAUAUCAUCCUCAGACGGACGGGCAUUCGGAGAGGACUAUUUAAACUCUUGAGGAUCUAUUAAGACUCUGUGUCAUUGACUUCAAAGGAAUUUUGUUGCCUCCUUUAUAGUCUAACAAAAAGGACUCUAACUCAUGCAAGCAUAUAUAGGUCAACAAGUAGUACAGAGUAAGAAAAGUAUCGAUCCACAGAGAAAGGUUUUAAAUCUAAAUUAUCAUGCAUGAACUAUAUCACUAUCUUUAUAUGGUUAGACGCUCAACUCAUAAUUAACUUUUGAUUCUAAAUCAGUUCAUGAAAUAAAAAUUAUAAUUACUAAAGUGAAGUAAACAAAUUAGAGAAGAAUGGGAUUCUAAUUCCAUUCAAUGUUUCACCUAAACUGCAACCCUCAUGUAAUGUUUAAAUAUUUAUCAUGGAAAGCUAGUCAAGAGAACAAAAGUGGACAUAACAAUUUUUCAACGAACUAUGACCAUUUUACAUAAAAUCCACAUAUGAUAGAAAUCAUGUAGGCAUCACAUUUACCAAAAUCACUAUAUGUCUAUGUUAAAUUAAAGCAAAUAUUAUUUAAAUGCAAGCUCUUUUAAUAACUACACACGAUGGACCGAUAUAUGCCUAUCCGGGUCACUAAUCACAAAGCUUAAACAAAUCAGCCUUAUGAACAUAUGCCAUUAUGAUAUAAUCUACACUUAUAUUUCAUUUUUCAAAUCCAUACAAGCAAUUAAUGUGAAUGGUGAUCAAUCAUUUAAAUAUUAAGCAUAAUCAUAAUAGGCAUUUCCACAAUAAUAUUUAAGGCUUGAUUAGCAGCGCGGCCGCGCUGCUGCUGCAUUCUGUCUUCUGCUAUCUUGUUAUUGCUGCUUUUUGUUUGUUGUUAUUUGUUCUUCAUUUCUUCUCUUUUUCACUGCAUUCAUUCACUGCUUCAGUUCCUCAUCUACUCAUGUUCGCCUUUCCAUGCUUUUGCUAGCAUCAUGCCACCAUGCCAAUCCAUGCUUUCCAUUCCACUUCAUGCCUUAUGUUGCUAAAAGGGGUUCUAACUACAUAAACUGCAAAACAAACAUAAAAUGCAAAUAAAAUAUAUUAAAAAUUACUUGAGAUGAGCAUAAUUCCAGUAAGUUAGCACCCAAAAAAUAGGUAUAAAACCUACUUAUCAAAUACCCCCAAACUUGAAUUAUUGCUUGCCCUCAAGCAAUGCACAUGAAAAUAAACAAUUCAAUGCAACUACAUGUUAUGCAAACUAUAAUAUGCUGCAAAUGAAUCCCAAGUUUUUCAGCUAAGAUGAAAUUCCAAUACUUAUGCCUUAGAGAAUUAUCCGGAUUUAAGAAUAAAGUUUCAACCCAAACUACAGACAUAAUAUCAUACACUCAAAUAACCCAUACUCACUAUAAAGAUGUUAUGUGUGUAUGUUGUGUUCACCAAUAUACUUGAUCAAGGCAAAGACUACACAUGUUAUAUUGCUAAAAACAAAACAUUGAAGUCUAAAUCAAGAACCAUGUAUACUAAUGCAACAAAAACUGCUCCAACACAUCAAUACAAACUAAAGUUCAACAAUGGAUUUAAUCUACUUUAUUUUUACUCACAAGGGCGAUUCUCGCACUUUCCCACGGUGUUUAUUUAUUUCUUUUUUUUAGCGAGUGCAUUUUACGCUCCAUCCCGCCCAACCACAAGCUUUAAUAAUUCAACUUGGGAAGGUUUCAAUAAUACUUUUCUCUUUUUUAUAGUAAGCAUACCCAUGUGUUCCCAAAGUUUGAUUAUUAGUGUUUUCACAGCCUAAGUCCACUUUCUUCACAAUUCUAUUUUUAAAACAACAUUUUCUUCUAAGCAUGCAAAACAUGUUAUUCUUAUACCAACAAGCAUAAAUGAACAACUACGUGUUAACCGAAAGCAUCUUAAACAACAAGCAUGGCUUACAUCAUGUAAAACAUUAUAUCUAAGCUCAUGUUAUCCACUAAAUUCAAAAAUCCUUCAGAAUUCUAUUUCAUCACUGGCUAGACUAAAGCUCCAUAAAGCUAGAAACUUGGAAUAUGCAACUAAAAACAUAACUAAAACAUAUAAUAAAUAGAAAAAUAGAAAAAUUUUCUGCAAUUAUUAACUAACACAUGCUAAACACAUAAAUAUGCAAAAAAUUAAACUAAACAUGCAAAAAUGAUGCAAAUUAACUGCAUGCACUACACUACUACCCAAUACCCCCAAACUUAAAAUAUUCAUUAUCCCAAUGAAUGAAGGUAUAGGGUUUAAAGGAACUCCUGUGACGCCCCCAAAAUAGGCAUACAUCACCGAUCUUGAGUCACCAGAUACAUGGUACAUAAUACAACUAUAGACUUCUUUUAUACAACUAUCAUGUAAAAUACAACAAAACGUAGCUGAGAGUUUAAACAAGAAUAUUGUCUUCUAGACAAUAUCCACUCUCAGUGGAGUCCUCAUUACAUUUAUUAUCACACUAUUUCACAGAAUAGUGAGUACUACUAAAGCCACUUAUCCUGGACCAUUACUCCAUUUCCCGACUCGUCCCAGCUAUAUUCUCAUUUCCUGAAGAGAACGAUGAAAGAAAAGGGUGAGCUCAACUAGCCCAGUAAGAAAUAUUUUGACUAAGAUAAUGCAGAAUAAAUUAUCCUUAACCUUCAACAGUAAAACAACUGAUAGAAUACAAUAGACAACAAGUUUUAGAUCAACAACUGCAGCGAAAUAAGCAAUCCAUUAGAAGAGUCGAGUAGAGCAUGAUAUCUACUAUCUUCUAUGAUUUAAAAAAAAAAUCAUCAACUUUAUCGAUGAGACUCAGCUUAAUAAAUAAACCACAUCAUCGAAUUGUCUCCUUUGCAUUUGCAUAAAAUUCCCGUACAAUUGUUAUGAGUGCAACCAUGGGUGUGGAGCAGACUCCAUGAAAACAUCUUUCUCUAAUCAUGUCUUUCAAUUGCCCAUCUUGUGGCUCUGGCUUGAAACCUCGCUCUCUGACAAAUGAUUUAGCCACGAUUCUGAGGUAUUCCAUCUGGGCUUCAAGACUUACAAAUUUGGAAAAAUCCACAGUGUCUCCACUCUGGCUACUUGCAAAAGACGACUCUGGAGUGCGAGAACAAGCACGUUUUAGUCCCAUUACACUUGAUAAACAGACAAACUCUAAAUUACAAAGAAAAAUUGGACUGAGAAAAUCGUGCGCUAAACACCCCCAAACUUAUUGUUUUCACUACAUCUCUAAAGAAACCCUAACUUUUCUGUGACUGAAUAGAAGAUAAAGAUAAAAGUUUGAAUGUGGAUAGGAGAAUGAAAUGCGUAUAUAAUGGGAUGAGGAGUUACGAAUUUGAAAUGGAUGGUUUGGAGAAGAAAAGAGUCGUGCGUCUAUUUAUGUUUUGAAACUAAUAGAGAGUAGGCGCACGUUGCAAACUGAUAUAAGAAUUUGGAGGAGACACAUCUUUAAAACAUUUAAAAAAAUUUCAGGCUCCGGUCUCGGGUGCAGCUGCGCAGCUUUUACACUGAAUAAAGGCGCGGGCACGUGAUAGGCUAUGCUGCACAGGGAUACGGUGCGGGCGCGCCAUUUUGUACUAUUUUCCUUACGCGAUCACGCGGCCCUGUAUCCUAACCAUACUGAUCUGCAUCUUUAAAAAUAGCAAAGCGACUACUGAUAAUCUGCAAUGCGCCUAUACAAAUAAUAAAUAUCAGUAUGAGAUAUAUCAAUUCUCCAAAAUCAAAACAUGAACUAAUUAAUAUGCAUGAAUGACUAUCCCAAAACAAUGCUUUGUAUGCUACUCCUAAUCAUCAUUAUAUGCACAAUCAGUUCCAUAAAAUUUAUACCACACUUGUUAUUUUAUAACAACUAACAUGAAAAUGAGAAACAAAUAUGAUCCAAAACAAAAUUAAACAAGAGAUAAAGAUAGAAAUAAUAGGGUGCCUCCAAUCAAGUUCUAAGUUAUAGUCAAUUAGCUUGACUAUCUCUGAUUGAAUCAUGUUGAAGAAAGAAUGGAGGUGACUUUCUAUCUGUCAACCUCACCACCAUAGUAGUGCUUAAGCCGCUGUCCAUUCACUUUGAAUGGCUUAUCUGGGAAUCUAUCGAAUACCUCUACUGCACCAUGUGGAUAAAUUAUCUUCACAGUAAAUGGCCCUGACCACCUUGAUUUGAGCUUUCCAGAAAAAAGUUUAAGUCUUGAAUUAAACAACAGAACUCUUUGUCCCAGAUCGAAUACUCUCUCCAAGAUCUUGUGAUCAUGCCAUCUCUUCAUCUUUUCUUUAUAUAGCUUGGAGUUUUCAUAAGCCUGCAAUCUGAAUUCAUCCAACUCAUUUAGUUGGAGUAGGCGUUUUUCACCUGCAGCCUUCAAAUCAAAGUUGAGCUUAUUAAUUGCCCAAUACGCCUUAUGCUCAAGCUCCAUGGGAAGGUGACAAGCCUUUCCAUAAACCAGCUGAAAUGGUGACAUUCCUAAUAGAGUCUUAUAAACAGUCCUAUAAGCCCAUACAACAUCUUCAAGCUUCAAUGACCAAUCCAUUCUUGUGGGGUUCACGACUUUCUCCAAAAUUCUCUUUACUUCACGAUUUAAAACUUCUGCUUGGCCAUUGGUUUGAGGAUGGUAAGCUGUAGCAAUGUGAUGAUUUACCCCAUACUUAGCCAAUAAGGCUGUAAACUGCUGAUUAUAGAAAUGACUGCCUUCAUCACUAAUAAUAGCCCUUGGAGUCCCAAACCUUGUAAAAAUACUUCUUUAUAAAAAUCGUAGGACUACCUUAGCAUCAUUAGUUGGAAAAGCUGCCACUUCUACCCACUUUAAAACAUAGUCGACUGCUAACAAGAUGUAUAAAUUUCCACAUGAAGAAAUGAAACGACCCAUGAAAUCUAUCCCCCAAACAUCAAAAUUUUCAACCUCAAGGAUUGUGUUCAAUGGCAUCUCAUUUCUUUUUGAUAUAUUCCCAACUCUUUGACAUCUAUCACACCUCUGGACAAAACUGUAAGCAUCUUUAAAUAUCAUCCGCCAGUAAAAUCCUGCUUGUAACACUCUAGCCGCUGUUUUUUCUCCACCAUAGUGACCUCUAUAUAAUAAAGCGUGGCAAUCCUGCAAAAUCCCCUCUGUCUCGCUAUAUGGGAUACACCUCCUUAUCAUCUGAACAACACACUGUUUGAACAAAUACGGUUCAUCCCAUAUAAACCACUUCACAUUAUGCAAAAAUCUCUUCUUUUGGUGCCCAGUCAAGUCUGUAGGUAUGAUCUUGCUCACUAAAUAGUUAGCAAAGUCCGUGAACCAAGGCACUUCCCCUUUCACCACAAAUAAUUGUUCAUCUAGAAAAGAUUCAUUAAUCACAACUUUGUCAUCUCCAUCUCUUCCCUGAUUUUCCAGUCUCGAUAAGUGGUCCGCUACUUGAUUCUCAGUACCUUUCCUAUCCUUGAUCUCCAAAUCGAAUUCUUGCAAUAGAAGUAUCCACCUGAUUAAUCGAGGCUUUGCAUCUUUCUUUGCCACAAAAUAUAGAAUUGUCGCAUGAUCUAUGUAUACUAUAACCCUCGUCCCAAUUAGAUACGCUCGAAACUUAUCAAAAGCAUAUACAACUGCCAACAGUUCCUUCUCUGUGGUGGUGUAGUUCAAUUAAGCAUCAGUAAGGGUCUUGCUCGCAUAAUAUAUCACAUGAAAAAUCUUUUCCCUUCUCUGGCCCAAAACAGCCCCCACAGUAUAAUCACUGGCAUCACACAUCAACUCGAAUGGUAAGUCCCAAUCUGGUGUUGUAAUCACUGGUGCUGAAGUUAACUUCCUCUUUAAAUGCUCAAAUGCAGACAUGCAAUCCUCAUCAAACUUGAAUUGUACAUCUUUCUCCAAUAAUCUACAAAGUGGCUUUGUGAUCUUGGAGAAGUCUUUAAUGAACCUACGGUAGAAGCCUGCAUGCCCUAAAAAACUGUGAACACCUUUUACAGAAGUUGGUGGUGGCAAAUUCUCAAUGGUCUCUAAUUGGCCCUGUCCACCUCGAAUCCUUUCUUCGACACCUUAUGUCCCAAAAUUAUUCCUUCUUGUACCAUAAAAUGGUACUUUUCCCAAUUAAAAACUAAAUUCAUCUCAACACAUCUUCUCAGUACCAUCACUAAAUUUUCCAGACACAAAUCAAAAGAAUCCCCGAAUACUGAGAAAUCAUCCAUAAAUACCUCCAAAUUAUGAUCCACCAUAACCGAGAAAAUUGCCAUCAUACAUCUCUAAAAAGUGGUUGGGGCAUUGCACAACCCGAAAGACAUCCUUCUGAAAGCGAAUGUACCAUAUGAACAUAUGAAAGUUAUCUUUUCUUGGUCUUCUGGAGCUAUCACAAUCUGAUUAUAGCCUGAAUACCCAUCCAGAAGGCAAUAAAAUUUAUAACUCGAUAAUCUGUCUAACAUCUGAUCAAUAAAUGGCAAUGGGAAGUGAUCCUUCCUUGUAGCUUUGUUAAGUCUGUGAUAAUCCAUGCAGACUCUCCAUCCCGUCACUGUUCUCAUCGGAAUCAACUCAUUGUUUUUAUUGGAGACUACGGUCAUUCCACCCUUCUUUGGCACACACUUUACCAGGCUCACCCACGAGCUGUCUGAGAUCGAAUAAAUAAUUCCUGCAUCCAGCCAUUUCAACACUUCCUUUUUGACCACUUCCUUUAUAAUUGGAUUAAGUCUCCUUUGCUGCUCCAUUGAAGGCUUGCUCUUAUCUUCAAGUAGGAUCUUGUGCAUACAGAAUGAUGGGCUGAUCCCUUUGAUAUCUACUAUGGUCCAUCCAAUUGCUGACUUAAACUCUCUAAGGACUCUUAGCAGUUUUUCUUCCUGAAAAGAUGUUAGUGCAGAAGAAAUAAUCACAGGUAAUUUUGGAUUAUCAUUUAAAAAUGCAUACCUCAAAUAAUCUGGAAGUGGUUUCAACUCAAGUUCUGGAGGUGCCUCAAGAGAUGGCUUUAAUUUCACUGAUGACUCUCCAGCAAUCUUUAAUGGCUUAACAAGAGUCUUAAACUUUCUGAACUUUGGAGUUGUGUCAAGUAUUUGAACAAUUUCUUCAAUAUCACCAUCUUCUAUCUCUAAACUUCCCAUAAUGGCAUUCUUCAAAGGUUUAUAUUCCACCAAGUUCUCUACUUCAUCAUUCAGUACCUUUUCCACAAAAUCAAUCCUGAAGCAUUCCUCUUCAUCUGUUGGAAAUUUCAUUGCCUUGAAUACAUUAAAGGUGACUUCCUGAUCAUGAACUCGCAUUGUCAAUUCACCUUUUUAAAAAUCUAUCAAGGUUCUUCUUGUGGCUAGGAAUGGUCUUCUAAGAAUGAUCGGUAUACUUUUAUCCUCUUCAUAGUCCAAUAUGAUGAAAUCAGCCGAGAAGAUGAAUUUAUCCACUUUAACUAGUACAUCUUCCACAAUACCCUGUGGAUAUGUAAUAGAACUGUCAGCUAGCUGCAAUGAAAUGUUUGUCAGCCUUGGAGCCGGCAAUCCCAACUGAUUGAACACUGACAAUGGCAUCAAGUUGAUACUUGCCCCUAGAUCGCACAAGCAUUUGCUGAAACUCAUCUUUCCAAUCGUACAAGGUAUCGAGAAGCUACCCGGGUCCUUCAGCUUUAGAGGUAACUUGCGUUGAAGCACUGCACUACAUUCUUUGGUCAAGGCCACUGUUUCAAAGUCUUCUAGCCUUUUCUUCUGUGACAAAAUACUCUUCAUAAACUUUGCGUAACUAGGCAUCUGUUCCAAUGCCUCAGCAAAAGGUAUGUUGAUAUGUAGCUUUUUAAACACCUCCAAAAAUUUACUGAACUGCUUAUCUUCCCUUUGCUUCUGCAACCUCUGUAGAUAAGGAAUAUGGGGAUGAAUAACUGGCAUCUUGGUCAUCGGUUUCUCAGAUGACUCUUCUUUAUUCUUCUUCACUUUCCGCAGUUCUGAACCUUCAUCAAACAAAACUUCACUAGAAAUUUUUCCUUCAUCACGCGGCCGCGCGUCCUCUCUUUGCAAAAUUGGUGCAGUCACGCCAUGUUGUGAUUCUGCAGUUUGUUUCCCUGACCUUAAAGUGAUAGCCUGACAUUGUUCCUUACCCUCCCUUCUUGGAUUAACCUCUGUUGUACUUGGCAAUGAACCCUGUGGUCUGUUGUUAAGCAUGCUAGCCAUUUGACCUAUUUGCGUUUCCAAAUUUUUGAUAGCCACUGCUUGGCUUUUAAUCAUCACCUCGAUAUUUGCCAUAUACUUCAUCAUCAUCUCCUGCAUCUCUGAUUUCUUCUCUUGUUGAGGUGCAGGUGGUGGAUGAUGUUGUUGUUGCUGUUGAAAUCCCAGAGGGUAGGGUGGUUUCGGUGCAUACUGCUGAUGAGACGGUUGUGACUGAAAUUGAUGUUGUGGUUGAAACUGUUGACUUUGUUGAUUUUGAUUAUUUAACCAAAUGAAAUUUGGAUGGUUGCGGUUGUUGGAGUUGUAGGCAUUCUGGAACUGACUAUGAUUUUUUUGGUAGUUGCUCACAUACUAUACAGAUUCUGAACUAAUAGCACAUUGAUCAGUUGAAUGUGAUCCUGCACAUAUCUCCCAUACAAAUACAACUAUAUUCGCUUUGCUCUCUGCCAAAGAAUCAAUCUUCUUUGCCAUGGAUGCCAUCUGAGCUGACAACUGAGUGAUAACAUCCACCUUUAACAAUCCUGCAACUUUGGGCUAUGGCAUUCUGGCUGUAGGAUUUUGAAAGUCAUUAGCUGUCAUAGUCUCAAUAAGAUUGUAAGCCUCUUCAUAGCUCUUAGCCCAUAAGGCUCCUUCUGCAGCUGCAUCUACAAUCGGCCUUGAUUGCCAUCCCAAUCCAUUAUAAAAUGUAUUAAUCACCAUCCAAUCUGGCAUACCAUGGUGUGGACACUUCUUUAGCAUCUCCUUAUAUCGUUCCUAGGCUUCAUAUAAAGAUUCACUCUGAUGCUGCUCAAACUAGGAAAUUAUUGUCCUCAUUUUAGCAGUCUUAUCCAUUGGAAAAAAUUUAGCUAAGAACUUUUGUGCUAAGUCCUUCCAUGUUGUAAUCGAUCCUGACGGCAAAGAAUGAAGCCAACUUCUAGCCUUGUCCCGUAAAGAGAAUAGAAACAGCUUGAGCCUGAUUGCAUCUUCUGUCACCCUGUUAUAUCUAAAGGUGUCACAUAUCUCUAUAAAACUCAAUAGAUGCUCGUUCAGGUCAUUUAUAGCAGCACCCCCAAACUGUACCGAAGUCUGCACCAUUGAAUAGUGCCCGGCUUUAUCUCGAAAGUGUUGGCUACUAUAGCUGGUCUGACGAUACUUGACUGUAAUCCAUUUAUCUUUGGCAUUAAAUAAUCUCUUAAAGCUCUGUGUUCCUCUCUUUGCUCUUCUGCUGCCAUAUUGGAUGUUGUGGUCUCUAAAGCUGCUUGUAAAUUCCGACGCGCUUUCGAUUUCCAACCUCUUCCGUUAAUGUUAUCCUGUGCAGGUGUUAAUUCGGAAUUGGAUGACCGCGUGUGCAUAAAAUAUAUACAAGUACCUGAAAUACGAACAAAAACAAAAAUAGAAAUAAGAUAAGAAUAUAAUUGUCUAAGUCACAAAAUUUAGCUUUAAAUUGAUGAUGAUAAUACUAAAAAUAAACGCCUUUCCCCGGCAACGGCGCCAAAAACUUAUUGCCUCCUUUCUAGUCUAAUAAAAAGGACUCUAACUCAUGCAAGCAUACAUGGGUCAACAAGUAGUACAGGGUAAGAAGAGUAUCGAUCCACAGAGAAAGGUUUUAAAUCUAAAUUAUCAUACAUCAACUAUAUCACUAUCUUUAUAUGCUUAGACGCUCAACUCACAAUUAACUUUUGAUUCUAAAUCAGUUCAUGAAAUAAAAAUUAUAAUUACUAAAGUGAUGUAAACAAAUUGGAGAAGAAUGGGAUUCUAAUUUCAUUCAAUGUUUCACCUAAACUGCAACCCUCAUGUAAUGUUUAAAUAUUUAUCAUGGAAAGCUAGUCAAGAGCACAAAAGUGGACAUAACCAUUUUUCAACGAACUAUAACCAUUUUACAUAAAAUCCACAUAUGAUAGAAAUCAUGUAAGCAUCACAUUUACCAAAAUCACUAUAUGUCUAUGUGAAAUUAAAGCAAAUAUGAUUUAAAUGCAAGCUCUUUUAAUGACUACACACGGUGGACCGGUAUAUGCCUAUCCAGGUCACUAAUCACAAAGCUUAAACAAAUCAGCCUUAUGAACAUAUGCCAUUAUGAUAUAAUCUACACUUUUACUUCAUUUUUCAAAUCCAUACAAGCAAUUAAUGUGAAUGGUGAUCAAUCAUUCAAAUAUUAAGCAUAAUCAUAAUAGGAAUUUCUACAAUAAAUAUACAACAAUACAAUCAGAUAUACAAAUUUAGAUUACAUAUCAAAAUCCAUUAGAAUUCCAUAAUGGAGUUUAGUUCAUUUCUGAACCAAAAGCCAUUAUGGGAUUGAAGCAACACAUAGAAUUAAACAAUGCAGUCAAAAAAGAUAAAAGAAAUGCGAGAUCAAAUCUGUUAAUCUAUGUUGCAGAGUCUGUUCCAAGUUUGUUCCAAUUCACCCAAAAUCUCCAGAAAAUGAAAAGCUAAUUUUAUUUAGUAAUCUAGAUAAAGAGAGGAUAUAAAAAUGUAUCAUAUAAUGAUCAAAACCUCUUUAGCGUAGUUAAAAACUUAAGAACCUAAUAAUAAUAAUAAAACUGAUAAAGAACUCCCAAAAACUAUGACGGGUGCCAACCAUAUCAUUCAGUUAAGCCUAAUGCGCUCAAAUUUCAAAUUACAAAAAUUCAACAAAACUGACUGUAGAAGACUCGCGCGGCCGCGCAAAAUUGAGCUACAUUACGGGCACGGGCGGGCGAUAGAAUUGUCUGUCGAGAUCUUGGCGUGGGCGCGCCAAAUUCCUUCAUUGAUGGAGCGCGGCCGCGUGAUGGUGAAAAGUAGUCUCUGUAUUCAUGUAGCGCGGGCGCGCGAUGUAAGGCUUGAUUAGCAGCGCGGCCGCGCUGCUGCUGCAUUCUGUCUUCUGCUAUCUUGUUAUUGCUGCUUUUUGUUUGUUGUUAUUUGUUCUUCAUUCCUUCUCUUCUUCACUGCAUUCAUUCACUGCUUCAGUUCCUCAUCUACUCAUGUUCGCCUUGCCAUGCUUUUGCUAGCACCAUGCCAAUCCAUGCUUUCCAUGCCACUUCAUGCCUUAUGUUGCUAAAAGGGGUUCCAACUACAUAAAUUGCAAAACAAACAUAAAAUGCAAAUAAAACAUACUAAAACUACUUGAGAUGAUCAUAAUUCCAGUAAGUUAGCACCCAAUAAGUAGGUAUAAAACCUACUUAUCAAAUUUGGGACAAGUACUUGCCAUUAGUGGAAUUCUCCUACAAUAACAGUUAUCAAGCAAGUAUAGGGAUGGCUCCAUUCGAGGCGUUGUAUGGACACAAGUGUCAUUCUCCAGUAUGUUGGGAUGAGGUAGGUGAAGCAACGUUGUUGGGACCGAAAUUGGUGCGCAUAACAACAGAAAAGAUUCAAAUGAUCCGGCAAUGUAUAAGAACCUCACAAGAUCGACAAAAGAGUUAUGCUGAUCUUCAUCGAAGGGACGUGGAAUUCAAUGUUGGAGAUCAUGUGUUACUACAUGUUGCUCCAUAGAAAGGAGUUAUGAGAUUUGAAAGGAGAGGAAAGCUCAAUCCUCGAUUCAUUGGCCCAUUUGAAAUAGUCGACCGAGUAGGAAUAGACUCGCCUUACCGCCAAGUAUGUCUCGUAUUCAUAACAUUUUUCACAUAUCUAUGUUAUGUAAAUAUGUGGAAGUCCUGAACCACAUUAUUGAAUUAGAACCAGACUAGAUAGUGGAAGACUUAACGUAUGAAGAGGUACCUGUUAAAAUCUAAGAUAAGAAGGAACAUAUUCUACGCUCAAAGGUUAUACCUCAAGUCUAAGUUUUGUGGAGAAACCACGAUGUUGAGGAAAUGACUUGGGAGUUAGAAUCUGAAAUGAAAAUAAGGUAUCCUCACCUCUUCAACAUACCAGGUACGUACACCAAUUUUGAGGAUGAAAUUUCAUAAGAAGGGGAGGUUUGUAAGACCCCAACUUUAAUGAAUAAAGAUUUAAUUUUUUCCAAAUAUCUUUUUUAAUAUUAAGGUGUGUAUUUGAUAUAAUGUGGGUAAUAUUUACAAAUUUUGUAAAGUAAGCAAGUUGUUGUAAAAUAUGCAUUUGGUCGGGGAAUAUUCAUUUUAUUAGGAAAUAUUCGUACGAUGGCACAAUCAUUGGUGGACCACAACAGAAUUACUGACAGAGUUAGAAAACGACAGAAAUAACUUUUUAUAAAAAUAACGACAAAAGUUUUACCGUUAAUUAUUGAAAUACCCGGUGAUAAAAGUACAAUAAUACGCAUGGUUGCAUAGUAGUACACAGUAUUGUAUAGUAUCUUUGAUUAUUGAUGCUUAUGUGAGAAGUUACUCAGUUUUAUUCAAUUAUUGCAACAGUAUUUGCGGCAUAGUAUCUCAUAUUAUUGAUUCAAUUAUUGUCACAGUAUCAUCUGCACAAUAUUUUAUAUUAUUAAAUCAAUAAUUGAGACGACAAAGUUAUUCAUAUUAUUAUUUGCAUUAUUGACAAUGUCUAGAAAGUUUUGUCGAGGAAAUGAGUUUGGUCACCUAAUUACGCACCAAUAAGGAAAAGUUCUUAUCGAAAAGCCUACUCUUUCUGGGAAUGAUCUGGUUGUUAGUAUUGUGAGUUAUAAUAUUGAUGAUGAAUAAGUUCGUGUUGAUUAAAGAUAAGAAUAAUAAUUAAUUAGUGGAAGAUGUUUAAUCAGUUAUCCUUUUAAAUUGGUGUUUGUUCAGCUAAUUUUUUUUAGGGUACAAAAUUCUUCCGUAUGUUAUGAUAAUUGGCCAACUUUUCAAAUAAUACAACUAUUGUUCCCUGCCUUAUGAAUGAGGGUGCUCCCUCAUUGGUCCAUAUCUCCCCAUUUGCUAGUUACCUUUAAAAAAGGGCACUCCCUCAUUGGUCCUUAUCUCCCACUUUGUUAGUUACCUCCUCAAGAGGGCACUCCCUUAUUGGUGGUCUCAAUUAUAUGCUGAUAAAAUUGCGUCCGAAUAUUUUUACUUUGUGUCCGUGAUUAUUUUCCUAAAUAGUAUCCUGCCAUUCUCCUAUAAAUAGGAUGCUUAGUUUAGAAAUGAAAAUUACACCAGAAUCAAAGAAUUCUUCUUCUAUAAUAUUGAGUGUAUUUCUUUUGAGUUAAGGAAACUUUGAGUGUAGAAAAUAGUACAAGUUUUCUUCAAGAAUAUCUUCGUUAUACCAGUCAGAAUUAUUCUCCUAAUAAGGUAAGGGAUAUUAUUUUUGUUCAAUAUUCGUAAGAAAUAAUAUAUUCUUCCAUACUCUGUAGUAUGUAAGUAAUAUUAUUUCGUUUCAUAUUCAUAAUUCUACACUUAUUUUGAUAAGUAUUGCUUCUGUACUCCUUAACAUUAGUAGAAUAUCCUUGAGAUUUGCUCUUCAUCUAGUAUCGUUUCACAAGAAUAUUUUUCUAAACAUUCUUGUUAAAUUUUAAUCUUUUCAUGUUGAGGUACUAUUCACGGGGUACUAUUCGCACGAGCACUAUUCACCCGGGGUACUAUUCACGAUAAAAAUUGAUUUUUUUUUCUGUCCAAAUUAUUUUUACAUAAAUAUUAUUCUUGAAUUUUACUCCACAAAGCAGUUAUCACGUUGAUAAUUUGGACAUUUUUAAACUCUGGAUAAAUUGAAUUAUAAAUCUUUAAUAGUUAUCCUUGAUCUCGUUUGAUUGAAUUCUUAUAUCAUUGUCAUCAUCCUCAUGCUUAUAUUGUGAUGAAAGUCAUCUUUGGCCCCUAGUGCAUAGAUGGACUGUUGAUUGGUAUGAUUAUGACCGGAAAUUAUGUAUCGGUAUAAUCAUGACCUGUAAUGUUACAAAGGUUGUGUUAAAAGUCCUCAUUGGCCCGUAGUGCAUUGAUGCACAUUUGUUUGGCAUGAUCAUGACCACUGGUGAUAAUACGAAUAUCUUUGACCCGUAGUGCAUGGAUAAUUCGUGAAUGUGAUACUAAUAAAUAUCCUUGACCCGUAGUGCAUGAAUAAUUUAGUGAUGUGGAUUAUUUAUUGAGCUGUGUUACAGUGAUAAAAUAUUGAUGAUGAACUUUUAAAUCAUAGUAGAUAUCAUGUUCUACUUGACUCUUCUAGUGGAUUGUUUGUUCCACUGUAGUUAGACUUGUUGUUUAUUGUAUUCUAUUAUUUUAACAUUGUGGAAGGCUAACGAUAAUUUAUUUUGCAUUAUCGUAGUCAUAAUAUUCUUUACUGGGUUAGUUGACCUCACCCUUUGCUUUCAUUGUUCUCUUCAGAAAAUGAGAAUAUAGCUGGGACUAGUCGGAGAAUGGAGUGACGGUCCAGAUGAUUGCUAUAGUAGUCCUCACUAUUUUGUGAAAUAGUGUGAUAAUAAUUUUAAUGAGGACUUCAAUUAAGUUUGAAUAUUGUCUACGAGACAAUAUUCGUGUUAAAACUCUCAACUACGUUUUUAUCGUAUUGUAUAAAUGAAGUUAUAUUUAAAUUUUGUACCAUGUAUUUGACGACUCAGAAUGGGUUGUGUAUACCUAUUUUGAGGGCGUCACAUAUAUAGUACCUACAUAGUGGUAAACAGAUAAAGUUAACAUAGUACUAGGUUAGUUUUUAAGUUAGUUACAAUAUUUUCAAAUAGUUAGUGGCAGAUAUAAAUAUAUUACAAUCUUUCUAAAUAGUUAGUAAUCUUCUUCGUUGAGAGGAGAGAAGUGAAGACCAAGAUUGGGAAAAAGAUCAUCAAGAGAAAUACCAGAAAGAGGAUCACUAAGCAAGGACUCCAGUUUGGCAAAGCUGGUACUUGCAGUGAAAUGGCAAGAAGGCAAAGAAAACUUUUCCAUAACAGAAUGCAACAUGUUCUUAAUAUAAUGCACAGAUUGUUGUAUUGCUUCCAUUUGAAUCAUUAAAUUAUUCUGAUUAAGUAACAGUAAUUGAUUCAUGCUAUUUAUGCCAUCCAGUUAAGAUAUCAUAUUAAGGUUUGACUCAAUGGGUUCAUGAUCAUGAGCUUUAAAGACUAUAAGUAGCCUAGAAGGAAGAUUUAAACGAGAGACAAGAUUCGAGUUUUGAAUAAGUUGAAAUUUUUGAUCAGUGAGAUCAAGCUCAAGAUAAAAUACAAGUAAGAAGAAGUUCAAAACUAAGACAAUUGUUGUUAAAACAAUAUUCAAAAGAGGUUAGCAUAAUGUAUGCAAGAUUGUAUGGCAUGCACUCCUUGAUGAUACAUUUUAUGAUUUCCAUAUGAAAGGGAUGAAGUGUCCAAGUUUCUCUAACUAGCAUAAGAUUUUGUCUAAGAAUUUUACCAAGAAACUAACAGUCAACAGUUAAGAAUUCUAGACCAACAUUGACAGGAAAAUCAAAUAAGAGUGCAGGGAUGAGUUGAUCAAUUGUAAAAGAUAGUUUUUGUUUAAAAAUAAGACAAUCACUCAUUUUUUGUUCUUAGAGGAUGCACAUAUUCAUUUGUCCUAUGCAGUUCCAGAACAGAUGGAUGAAGAUUUAAUGCAUGAAUGAGAAUAGUUUCAUCAAUGACAAAAUUUUUACCCUGAAUGCAUGCACUGAUAGUACUUAGUAAAAGACCAAAGGAAUCUCUAUUGAAAACCAUAUGAGUGAAAAAUUCAGCAAUAAGAUUAGGAUAUAUGUGUCUAUCAAAGAAUACAACUAGACUUUCUCAUCCUAUGACUUAAAAAUGUUCAAGUAAGUCAGGAAAGCUACAGAAUGCAAUGCCUAGACAUGGAGUAAGAGUAUGGUUCAUUAAACGAUAUUUGGUGUGUGCAGAAGGAGUGACUAGAUGUGGUAUACACCCAGAAGGAUUUUUAUCAUAAUGAAGUGAAAGUCUUUUUCUUUUUGAAGAAAAGAUAGGGUCUGUGAUAGACCUACAAGACAGAAAUAUGUAACAAAUAAGACAGACUGAGACUAAAAUGAAUGCAUCAUAUAUUAAAAAUUUCUAUAUAUAGAUGAGAUAGAUAAUCAUUAGUGUCAAUCUUAAUAAAUGAAUUGAAGAUAUGAAGAGUUACUAAUUAAAGAAGAUAUAUAAGGAAAAGAUUGCAUCAGUUAAUACACAUAAAAGCUAGCAAGAAAGAAGGCCAUACUUAUCACUGUGUAUUCCUUUUUCAAGAAAUAUUUAAGUAAAACAGUACUAUGACAGUAAACAGUGUAUAAACUCUCUGUUUAGUCAAAAACAUUAAUAAAACCGUACACCCACUCUCUUUAAAAUUAGUUUUGAUAAAUCAUUUCAAUAGUAAAUCAGUACUCAUAUAUAGAGUCCCAAUGUUACAGCCAAUGAUUGACAAUAGAAAACAACAUUUACGGAUAAACACACAAGAUGAGAUAGUUCAAAAUUUAUGUCCUUAACCAAUUCCAUACGGUAAACAUAUUUUAACCCAAUAAGCCAUAUCAAACAAACAUCAUUCAUAAAAGAUGUAGAUAGAUGAAAGUUAUGUAUUGAAGAAAAAACAAUCCAGUGGACAUCAGUAUCCACAUCCAACCAACUAAUGCACAUAAAAUUAUUUCCAGUAGACAUCAGUGUCUACACUAAAAAAAUACAAAUAGAAACAAUAAAGUAUUGGUUAUAAAAGCUUGCCUUUUAGCACAGCUAUCUGAACAACAACAAAGAUGAAAAGAGCUUCUUUAACAUAAUCUAAUUAUCAGCAUGCACGAUAAUUUGUAAAAGAAUAUAUAUAUAUAUAUAUAUAUAUAUAUAUAUAUAGUUGUAGAAUAAUUUAUAUAUAUGUAGGGAAAAGGUCCAAAAAUGUCCUUGACAUUUAUCCCGAUGUCCCACUUACACCUUAAAUUAAUUUUUUUUUCAAAAGUACCCUUAACGUUAUAAAAAUCAGGUCACCCAUGCCCCUCUCGUUAACGAAUCUGCCACAUUGACAAACGGAACUGACACCUCAUCUAAUUUUGCUGACUAAGCAAAAUAAACAAUUAUACUAACACUACUAUAAAUUAAUUAUUUAAUUUUAGAAUAAUUAAUAUUAAAAAUUAAAAUUUUGCUUCCUCUACUACUCAUACUCUCUAUCUAAUCGCUUGCUUUCUCUCUAGGGUUUCAGAUCUAUCACAAAGCCACUACAGUAUGUAUGUCCCUUUCUUUCUCUGACUGACUUAGAUUUCUAUCUACGGAGGCUCGAGCUCGAAGGCCUCUGACUGUCCGCCGUUGGCCUCCUGUGGAUCUUUCCGAUUCUUCCUUUGAGGUUGGCACAUCAGUUGAUGGAUGGUGGAGCGAUGGCUGAUGGGAAGGUGUUGUACCUGGAGUCUCGCUCUCUAAGAGUGAUAAGUUACACUUCUCUGGCUAAUUGAUUUGUUUGUCUUUUUUAAUUUUAGGUGAGGGCAAGUUCUUGACUCUUCAACGAAAGGAUAUAAGAAGUUGAAGAGAUUGGAUUGAUAAUAGAUGGCUAGAAAUAAAGCCAAAUCCUGAUGUACUCUCCUUCAUAUGCUCAUCUCUCAAACCUAAAACAAAGCCUCCAACAUCCUCAACUAUGAACGAGGCAUCCAAGCUUGGUGGCUCUGCUGCAUUGGAUCGUACGCCUUGAGUCUUUGAUUUUUGGGGAUUUAGAGAGAGAAAAUUAGGAUUUCUGGAGUUUUGUUUGGGGGUUUUGAAAUUUGAUUUUGAAGGUGUAAAUUUGUUUUUCAAAAAUAAAAUUUUUCUCAAUUUGUGAGUUUGAGGCCGAGUCGUGGGAAUGAAUCGGUGGUACGGACGAGUCGACAGUGGCGGAGUGAGGGUUGGUGAAUUCGUGGUGGGGUUGCUGGUGAGUCAACGGUGGCGAAGUGUUUGUUGAUGGUGUUAAAAUUUUACAAACUACAAAUUCAUUAAGAGAAAGAAGACUACAUUAAUUUUUGUAUUAAUUAAUUUAGAGUUAAUUGUAUUAAUUAAUUCAAGAUGAUGAAUUUUUGUUAUUUGUAUUAAUGAAUUAAAUAUAAAUAUAAAUAUUUAUUUUGUUUAUUAAU
rnacentral:lncRNA from 1 species